rnacentral:rRNA from 1 species
ACUCGGCGCACCAAAAACCUUUGUGAACUUAUACCUUACUGUUGCCUCGGCGCAGGCCGGCCUCUUAGCUGAGGCCCCCCGGAGACGGGGAGCAGCCCGCCGGCGGCCAACCUAACUCUUGUUUUUACACUGUAUCUCUGAACAAAAAACAUAAAUGAAUCAAAACUUUCAACAACGGAUCUCUUGGUUCUGGCAUCGAUGAAGAACGCAACGAAAUGCGAUAAGUAAUGUGAAUUGCAGAAUUCAAUGAAUCAUCGAAUCUUUGAACGCACAUUGCGCCCUCUGGUAUUCCGGAGGGCAUGCCUGUUCGAGCGUCAUUUCAACCCUCAAGCCUGGCUUGGUGUUGGGGCACUGCUUCGAGAGAAGCAGGCCCUGAAAUCUAGUGGCGAGCUCGCUAGGACCCCGAGCGUAGUAGUUAUAUCUCGUUCUGGAAGGCCCUGGCGGUGCCCUGCCGUUAAACCCCCAACUUCUGAAAAUUUGACCUCGGAUCAGGUAGGAAUACCCGCUGAACUUAAGCAUAUCAAUAAGCGGAGGAA